ACGAACGCUGGCGGCGUGCUUAACACAUGCCCGUCGAACGGAAAGGCCCUGCUUGCAGGGUACUCGAGUGGCGAACGGGUGAGUAACACGUGGGUGAUCUGCCCUGCACUUCGGGAUAAGCCUGGGAAACUGGGUCUAAUACCGGAUAGGAGCCAUUUUUAGUGUGAUGGUUGGAAAGUUUUUUCGGUGUAGGAUGAGCUCGCGGCCUAUCAGCUUGUUGGUGGGGUAAUGGCCUACCAAGGCGGCGACGGGUAGCCGGCCUGAGAGGGUGGACGGCCACAUUGGGACUGAGAGACGGCCCAGACUCCUACGGGAGGCAGCAGUGGGGAAUAUUGCACAAUGGGCGCAAGCCUGAUGCAGCGACGCCGCGUGGGGGAUGACGGCCUUCGGGUUGUAAACUCCUUUCGCUAGGGACGAAGCUUUUUGUGACGGUACCUAGAUAAGAAGCACCGGCUAACUACGUG
rnacentral:rRNA from 1 species